rnacentral:misc_RNA from 1 species
GAUGAAGACGUAGCGAAAUGCGAUAAGUAAUGUGAAUUGCAGAAUUCAGUGAAUCAUCGAGUCUUUGAACGCACAUUGCGCCCCCUGGUAUUCCGGGGGGCAUGCCUGUCCGAGCGUCAUUGCCGCCCUCAAGCACGGCUUGUGUGUUGGGCCCCCGCCCCCCGGCUUCGGGGGGCGGGCCCGAAAGGCAGCGGCGGCACCGCGUCCGGUCCUCGAGCGUAUGGGGCUUCGUCACCCGCUCUGUAGGCCCGGCCGGCGCCCGCCGGCGACCCCAAUCAAUCUUUCCAGGUUGACCUCGGAUCAGGUAGGGAUACCCGCUGAACUUAAGCAUAUCAAUAAGCGGAGGA